CCUGUUCACAUACAAUUUCCUCACCGGAACGAUAAGGUAACUGUUUUGAAAGCAGUGUUCAGCUUUUCGAAUAUAAUUAUGGUGAUUUGGCUUAACCACUAUUAAUAAGGAUAUUGCAGUUGUACAUGUUGACUGGUAUAGGUCGCUUUAACCGAGGGCUGUGAACGAUAAGUUUUUGCAAUGCCGCUGCGUGUAUUCCUAUUGAUUAUGUUCGACAUAACGUUGACAAAUGCAUUUCUUCUCGACAACAACUGCUUGACCAUAGCAACGUGUUCGUGCUCCAACAACCGAAUUUUGUGCAACAACACUAGGAUUUCAAAUGUUCCAGACUUCAACAUUACUCAAGGGAAUAACUACAAUAUCACUUACGAUUGACAUUAGUCAUAACAACAUCACGUCGGUGAAAAACGGAGAAUUUCUAUCACUACGGCAAUAUGUUCCAACAAGUACGUACAUUGAUCUGAGUUUCAAUUUAAUUCAUCGCAUGGAAGAUACGUGUUUUGAAGGCCUGGAAGAUAAAAUAACCGGAUUAUCUCUGGAUUCAAAUAGCUUAGAGGCCAUUCCAAACUCAGUGACAUAUUUAACCAGAAUUGAUACUUUAUUUAUGAUAAACAAUCAACUAAAAUACUUAG